rnacentral:rRNA from 1 species
AAACAUUGUUUAUAUAAUUAUCAUAAAUAUAACCUGCUCAAUGAAAAAAUUUAAAUAGCUGCAAAUUUUGUACUAAGGUAGCAUAAUCAUUUGUUUUUUAAUUUAAAACUAGAAUGAAAGGUAAAACAAAUCAUCUCUUUAUUUUAUAUUUUAUUUUAACUUAUAUUAAAUAUAAAAAUAUAUUUUUUUAAAAAAAAGACGACAAGACCCUAUUGAACUUUACUUUAGUUUAGCUGGGGAAGCUAAAUAAUAAAUAUUUUAUUAUAAAUUUUAUAAAUGACCCAAAACAUUUGAUUAAUUAAUCAAGUUACCAUAGGGAUAACAGCGCAAUAAAUUUUUAAAGUUCUUAUAUAAAAAUUUGCUUACGACCUCGAUGUUGAAUUAGAAAUCUUUAUUAAGCAAAAAUAAUAAAAGUAGGUCUGUUCGACCUUUAAAAUUCUACAUGAUCUGA